rnacentral:lncRNA from 1 species
GUAAGAUAAACCUACACAUAUACACAUAUGACAGAUGACAUACAGGACAACAGGAUCUUUCCAGAAAACAAACUAUGAAAAGGAUCAUACAUGACUUAAUUAAGCGCUGCACAUUGAUAAUCAAAGAUCAAACUACUGUGUGCACCUAAUAUAUUUUCACCAAGAUCACAUACCCCAAACCAUUGACCUUAAUCCCAAACCACAUUAGUGCAACAGAAAAAAAUGAUACAAUUUUUUCUUUUCUUUUCUGCACACAUGAUACAGUUUUUUCUUUUUCCAAACGGUUAACCCCCACUUUCCGAGGUAGGAUGUCAUGCUAUUAGCUCAAAUACUAUAUGAUUUUGAUAAAGAGGAUGUGCAGAGCAUAAGCAGCCACAACACAAGUAAGAUAACCUAAACCUAUACACAUAUGACAUAUGACAUAUACAAACCAUAACUUACAUUAAGUGAGUGAGCAAAGAUAUUUUUGCUGACUUGAAUAAAUGUUUUAUUUUUGCAAGUGACCGAACAUCACAUCAUACAAAAAUCAACAAAGCAACAUAUUUCUGCUAACCUGAGCCAUACAUGAAGGUGUAGAACGUGCAUAAAACCAGUAAAGAAAAUCAUUUCAGACAUAAAAGAAAAUUGGUGCAUGCAUGCAUGUCUGGGUUCUUGUCACAUAAAAUUUUAGUUUAUCACUGGAUCCAACUGAAAUUGACGACCAACACAAUAGUUCAACAGAUCAAAUCAUAUCAGAUUACGAUCGAUAGAAACGAGCAGGACUUCCUUCAGUAUGUUGGCAGCAUAGAAAAAUCACAUGGUGAGGGUGAGGUGUCAUCGCAUACUUAAAUACUAAGAAUUAGAGGAGCUUAGCUCCAUCAUA